rnacentral:rRNA from 1 species
UACGUAGGUGACUAGCGUUGUCCGGAUUUACUGGGCGUAAAGAGCGCGCAGGCGGUCGUUCAAGUCGAGUGUGAAAGCCCCCGGCCCAACUGGGGAGGGUCACUUGAUACUGAUCGACUCGAAGGCAGGAGAGGGAAGCGGAAUUCCCGGUGUAGUGGUGAAAUGCGUAGAUAUCGGGAGGAACACCAGUGGCGAAGGCGGCUUCCUGGCCUGUUCUUGACGCUGAGGCGCGAAAGCUAGGGGAGCAAACGGG